rnacentral:tRNA from 1 species
GGUGGCUCAGUGGUAGAGUGCUUGCCUUGCAAGCUUGAGGCCCUGGGUUCGAUUCCUCAGUACCA